rnacentral:rRNA from 1 species
AGAGUUUGAUCCUGGCUCAGGAUGAACGCUGGCGGCGUGCUUAACACAUGCAAGUCGACGGAAGGCCCCAGCUUGCUGGGGUACUCGAGUGGCGAACGGGUGAGUAACACGUGGGUGAUCUGCCCUGCACUUUGGGAUAAGCUUGGGAAACUGGGUCUAAUACCGAAUAUGACCACUUCUUGGAUGUUGUGGUGGAAAGCUUUUGCGGUGUGGGAUGAGCCUGCGGCCUAUCAGCUUGUUGGUGGGGGUAAUGGCCUACCAAGGCGGCGACGGGUAUCCGGCCUGAGAGGGUGUACGGACACAUUGGGACUGAGAUACGGCCCAGACUCCUACGGGAGGCAGCAGUGGGAAUAUUGCACAAUGGGCGCAAGCCUGAUGCAGCGACGCCGCGUGGGGGAUGAAGGCCUUCGGGUUGUAAACUCCUUUCGCUAUCGACGAAGCCUUCGGGUGACGGUAGGUAGAUAAGAAGCACCGGCUAACUACGUG